rnacentral:sRNA from 1 species
GCGGGGCGCGGGGGUCGGUGGCUGCUGGGCGGGCGGGGCGCAGGCCGCGGGACCCGAGCCCGGGGGAGCGAGAGAGCGGAAGCGCCGAGGAUCCGAUUCACUCGCUGGGGAGACCUAUGGGCCGAAGCCGUGUAAAUGCGUUUUAAGGCGAGUGCGGAAAGUGGCCUGGGGAGCCUCGGGGAGCGGACGCCCUCCGCCCUGGUGCUGACCUGCCCCCCUGCCUCUUCUGCCUCCCGUCAGCAGGGGCCUCGGCUCCGCAACUGCCACUCCUCCUCGGGGUGUUGCACAAGUUUCGAGGUCACCGGCGACCCCCCCUAGCAGCGCGCCUGGCUCUGGCCCCCGCGAAGGAGGACGGAGCUUGGACCAGGUAGCUGCCUUCUUCGUGGCUGACCUGGGUGCCAUAGUGAGGAAGCACUUUUGCUUUCUGAAGUGCCUGCCACGAGUCCGGCCCUUUUACGCUGUCAAGUGCAACAGCAGCCCAGGUGUGCUGAAGGUUCUGGCCCAGCUGGGGCUGGGCUUUAGCUGUGCCAACAAGGCAGAGAUGGAGUUGGUCCAGCAUAUUGGAGUCCCUGCCAGUAAGAUCAUCUGCGCCAACCCCUGUAAGCAAAUUGCACAGAUCAAAUAUGCUGCCAAGCAUGGGAUCCGGCUGCUGAGCUUUGACAAUGAGAUGGAGCUGGCAAAGGUGGUAAAGAGCCACCCCAGUGCCAAGAUGGUUCUGUGCAUUGCUACCGAUGACUCCCACUCCCUGAGCCGCCUGAGCCUAAAGUUUGGAGUGUCACUGAAAUCCUGCAGACACCUGCUUGAAAAUGCGAAGAAGAGCCACGUGGAGGUGGUGGGUGUGAGUUUUCACAUUGGCAGUGGCUGUCCUGACCCUCAGGCCUACGCUCAGUCCAUCGCAGAUGCCCGGCUCGUGUUUGAAAUGGGCACUGAGCUGGGUCACAAGAUGCACAUUCUGGACCUUGGUGGCGGCUUCCCUGGCACAGAAGGGACUAAAGUGAGAUUUGAAGAGAUUGCUUCCAUGAUCAACUCAGCCUUGGACCUGUACUUCCCAGAGGGCUGUGGCGUGGACAUCUUUGCUGAGCUGGGGCGCUACUACGUGACUUCGGCCUUCACUGUGGCAGUCAGCAUCACUGCCAAGAAGGAGGUUCUGCUGGACCAGCCUGGCAGGGAGGAGGAAAAUGGUUCCACCCGCAAGACCAUCGUGUACCACCUUGAUGAGGGCGUGUAUGGGAUCUUCAACUCAGUCCUGUUUGACAACAUCUGCCCUAUCCCCAUCCUGCAGAAGAAACCAUCCACGGAGCAGCCCCUGUACAGCAGCAGCCUGUGGGGCCCGGCGGUUGAUGGCUGUGACUGCGUGGCUGAGGGCCUGUGGCUGCCGCAACUACACGUAGGGGACUGGCUGGUCUUUGACAACAUGGGUGCCUACACUGUGGGCAUGGGUCCCCCCAAAGGGGGGACCCAGGCCUGCCACAUCACCUAUGCCAUGUCCCGGGUGGCCUGGGAAGCGCUGGGAAGGCAGCUGAUGGCUGCAGAACAGGAGGAUGACGUGGAGGGUGUGUGCAAGCCUCUGUCCUGCGGCUGGGAGAUCACAGACACCCUGUGCGUGGGCCCUGUCUUCACCCCGGCGAGCAUCAUGUGAGCGGGCCUCGUUCCCCCCGGAGAACCCCAGCGGGGCCUCAGAGAUGCGUCUGGGAGAGGUGGGGAAGAUGGCAGGCAAGGGUACCCUUGGCCAGGACUCUGGUACCCACCCUGCCACCCCCGCGCUCCACCUGCAGUGUUUCUGCCCUGUAAAUAGGACCAGUCUUACACUCGCUGUAGUUCAAGUAUGCGACAUAAAUCCUGUUCCUUCCAGCUGUGUCUGCCUCCUCUGCAGUGCAAGGGGCCUGGUCAGCCAGGUGUGGGGGUGUUCUUGAGGUCUCCUUUGGUCUCCUUCCCACCUUUGUAAAUAUAAUGCAAAUAAAUAAAUAUUUAGGUUUUUUAAAACUG